rnacentral:rRNA from 1 species
AAUCCUGACACAGGGAGGUAGUGACAAGAAAUAACGAUACAGGGCUACAUCUAGUCUUGUAAUUGGAAUGAGUACAAUUUACAUCUCUUAACGAUGAUCAAUUGGAGGGCAAGUCUGGUGCCAGCAGCCGCGGUAAUUCCAGCUCUAAUAGCGUAUAUUAAAGUUGUUGCAGUUAAAAAGCUCGUAGUCGGAUGUCGGGCUCGGGCAAGCUGUCGGCCUUUGGUCGGACGGCAGGCUCGGGUCUUUCUGCCUGAGGAACCCGGUUGCUUUAACGAGCUGCCGGUGGACGCAGGUCGUUUACUUUGAAAAAAUUAGAGUGUUCAAAGCAGGCUAGCGCUUGAAUACAUUAGCAUGGAAUAAUGGAAUAGGACUUUGGUGCUAUUUUGUUGGUUUAUGGGACCGAAGUAAUGAUUAACAGGGACAGUUGGGGCCGUUUAUAUUUCGUUGUCAGAGGUGAAAUUCUUGGAUUUACGAAAGAUAAACUUCUGCGAAAGCAUUCGGCAAGGAUGUUUUCAUUGAUCAAGAACGAAAGUUAGGGGAUCGAAGACGAUCAGAUACCGUCGUAGUCUUAACCAUAAACUAUGCCGACUAGGGAUCAGUGGAUGUCAAUUUGCGACUCCAUUGGCACCUUGUGAGAAAUCAAAGUUUUUGGGUUCCGGGGGGAGUAUGGUCGCAAGGCUGAAACUUAAAGGAAUUGACGGAAGGGCACCACCAGGAGUGGAGCCUGCGGCUUAAUUUGACUCAACACGGGGAA